GACAAGGUGGCCGAGUGGUUAAGGCGAUGGACUGCUAAUCCAUUGUGCUCAGUAUGCAUGGGUUCGAAUCCCAUCCUCUUUG